AUGGAGCAUUGGUUUGACUGUAGAAGUACCCAUAAUAGUAUUGAUAUGGAGCAUUGGUUUGACUGUAGAAGUACCCAUAAUAGUAUUGAUAUGGAGCAUUGGUUUGACUGUAGAAGUACCCAUCAUAGUAUUGAUAUGGAGCAUUGGUUUGACUGUAGAAGUACCCAUAGUAUUGAUAUGGAGCAUUGGUUUGACUGUAGAAGUACCCAUAGUAUUGAUAUGGAGCAUUGGUUUGACUGUAGAAGUACCCAUAGUAUUGAUAUGGAGCAUUGGUUUGACUGUAGAAGUACCCAUCAUAGUAUUGAUAUGGAGCAUUGGUUUGACUGUAGAAGUACCCAUCAUAGUAUUGAUAUGGAGCAUUGGUUUGACUGUAGAAGUACCCAUAGUAUUGAUAUGAGGCAUUGGUUUGACUGUAGAAGUACCCAUCAUAGUAUUGAUAUGGAGCAUUGGUUUGACUGUAGAAGUACCCAUCAUAGUAUUGAUAUGGAGCAUUGGUUUGACUGUAGAAGUACCCAUCAUAGUAUUGAUAUGGAGCAUUGGUUUGACUGUAGAAGUACCCAUAGUAUUGAUAUGGAGCAUUGGUUUGACUGUAGAAGUACCCAUAGUAUUGAUAUGGAGCAUUGGUUUGACUGUAGAAGUACCCGUCAUAGUAUUGAUAUGGAGCAUUGGUUUGACUGUAGAAGUACCCAUCAUAGUAUUGAUAUGGAGCAUUGGUUUGACUGUAGAAGUACCCAUAGUAUUGAUAUGGAGCAUUGGUUUGACUGUAGAAGUACCCAUAGUAUUGAUAUGGAGCAUUGGUUUGACUGUAGAAGUACCCGUCAUAGUAUUGAUAUGGAGCAUUGGUUUGACUGUAGAAGUACCCAUCAUAGUAUUGAUAUGGAGCAUUGGUUUGACUGUAGAAGUACCCAUAGUAUUGAUAUGGAGCAUUGGUUUGACUGUAGAAGUACCCAUCAUAGUAUUGAUAUGGAGCAUUGGUUUGACUGUAGAAGUACCCAUCAUAGUAUUGAUAUGGAGCAUUGGUUUGACUGUAGAAGUACCCAUCAUAGUAUUGAUAUGGAGCAUUGGUUUGACUGUAGAAGCACCCCCCACUACUAUCACAUCACCCCCCCCUCCUCCCCCACUAUCACCCCCCCCACU
ensembl:lncRNA